UACGUAGGGGGCAAGCGUUGUCCGGAAUUACUGGGCGUAAAGCGUGCGCAGGCGGCUUCUCAAGUCAGGGGUGAAAGCCCAGAGCUCAACUCUGGAAUUGCCUUUGAGACUGAGUGGCUUGAGUACGAGAGAGGUGAGUGGAAUUCCCAGUGUAGAGGUGAAAUUCGUAGAUAUUGGGAAGAACACCGGUGGCGAAGGCGGCUCACUGGCUCGUAACUGACGCUCAUGCACGACAGCGUGGGGAUCAAACAGG
rnacentral:rRNA from 1 species